rnacentral:lncRNA from 1 species
GGACGCUGAGGGUUUGGAACAAAAUAUAAUUAUAAUUAAAGGUUCUGAAGGGCCGAUUAUAUACUUAGCAGUUCACCUGAACUAUCCUCAGGACCCUAUGAUGUUGAAGUGAUCAAACUGAAUAAACAUGGAAUAAACCAACGUUGACCAGCACAGGAAGCCUGCGUUCCUCUCCUCCCCUCACCCCUCCUUACUUAAUUCUCUUUACAAUCCCGAGUGGUUCAGCCUUUUGUUUUGCAAAUGAAGAAUCUAGAUUGUAAUGGAAUGGGCCCUGAGGGAUACGAUUCUGAAAGUUUCCAAAUACUUUCUCCCUCUCACCCACUCCGCCUCUGUUUCAGGCUAGAAAAAGUUUUCAGUAACAGUUAAACAUGUUAGAAAACAGCAUGGAAUCUACAGCCAAGUGCUACUUAUGAGCAAUAAUUGCUUUUUACCUUUGAUAAAUACAGA